CUCUUUUGAACCCUUCCCUCCUUGAACUUGAGGUUGUGAAAAAAAUCGAGGCUAAAAACCUAAGUUGGUGGUGUUAUGGGAAAUUCAUUGAAGUGAUCAAUGCUUACCAUAUCCGCUUGAUAGAAAAAAAAAGUAGAGAGAAAUUGAGGGUUGGAUGAGAAGUCUUAAAGAAAGAAAAUGCUUUGAAAAAGAAAGAAAGAAAAUGAAGAAAUGAGACUUGAAUCCUCCAAAAGUUGAAAAUGGUUGUAUGUGGGGCAACUAGAGUGGAAAUAAGAAAAAGAAUAAUGAAAAAUAGUGUGGAAUGUGCAUGGGUUUGAAAAGUGGAGAAAGUUGGAAAAUAUGAGUUGUUGUGUAGUGUUCAAGGAGGGUGUAGUCACCUAUACCUAAAUGAUAUCCUAACCUUUCCUAAGCCUAUAUUACAAGCUUAACAAAGUCCUUUGAGAUUUCUAACCAAAUGGAGUUGAGUCAAAAAUGAUUGAAAAUAUGGGCAAGCCUAUUGUGUGACAUUUGUGUACAUGAGAUGAUUCUUUGUGAGUGUGAGUGUUGCAUCUUUGUUGUCCCAUGUCUUGUUUAUAUGUGUGUGCGGUUUUGGGACGCUUCUUUCAUGUGAGGGCAUGUAAGCUGAAAAAGUGGUGAUUUUGAAAAUUCCUAAUUGAGUCAAGUGAGCAUGUGAAAGUGUUAAUGAGUUGAGUCAUCUCUUGAGUUUGAGUUGUUGUCACUUAAAUGAUUCUUGGUUUUUAAAAAUGUAAUGAGAAUGAGAGGAUUUCUUAUGUGAAAAAAGUUUGCAUGUGGACUAUUUGUUAGUACCAACCGGAGCCAUUACCUUUGUGCUUAAUUGAGAAAUGGAAAUUGAUUUGUGGUGUGUCUUGAAAUAUGAGCCUCUUGUGUUCGAACGUUACUAAGAGUUUGGUAUUUUUUUUUUUUUUUUUGAACUUGGUAACUUUGUAUUAUAUCACAAAACAGUACAUGGGUCGUACUGUAACCUUAUAUACAAGAGUACUCCUGAUUUCACUUCUCUACGUCUAAAUUGAGUCUAACACAUCAAUAAUAGAGACAGUGUCAUUAGAGUAUAACUGAUUACACCAAAUGACUAAAAGUAAAAUGCAGUUUAGUUUAACUUUCUGCACAUUGUUCUCUAUGCUCUCAAAACAUCUUGAAUUCCUUUGACCGCUUACUCUGUUAACUUGUUUUGAGGGUGAUUUGAGCGUCAUCAAUUGUUUAAGCUUUUUGUAAAAAGUUUUAAACAUGUGUGUUGUAUAUUACUUCCUAGUGAUGCAAAUAUCCAGCUUCUUUUCACUGUUGUGGAGAAUACACCAUCUGAAACAGUUUGAUCAAAUUGCACUGUUGGUAUUGGAGAUCUGGCAGUUCGUUUUUCUAAUCUGUUAGAGCCAUGGACAGAGCAUAUGUAUGCAUGAUUAAGAGAUCGUUCAUUCUCAUCUAAUACUUACUGAAUGACAUGAAGGUUUGGCUGGACUAUCAAACAUUUAUACUUAGCUUUCAUGUGUCAGAAUUUUUAUCAUCUUGAUUUGCGUGUAUCAUUAUUAGGUGGAAGUUUAUAUAAAUGAAAUGGCCAACUGUUUGGAAGAUGAAGAUGAAAGAAUUUCAAAUCUUGCCAAACUUUCUUUCAUGAGUUGUCAAAGAAAAGGUAGUAUAUUUACCCUAACUUUUCUUUCAUCAGUUCCCUAAUAAAGAAGUUCAUCUAUCUAAUCUCUUUCUAGUCUUUCUACUAUUGAGCUUCUUUCAUCUGUUAUUGCGUGUUUUGGUGUGCACGUCACAUAAUACUGUUUUUUCCUUUACACUUAAUGUUUAGUGGGAACUUUUGCAUGUUCCCGCUUUUUGUUAAGUUCCAACUUCUUUCAUUUGUUCUUGACCUUCAAUUAGGAGGAACAAAGGUAUUUUAGACUGGCUCUUCUUUUUUGGUUAGUUCUUAGGGUAUAUUUUCCUAAGAUUGUCGUAGAUCCAAGUGGAAAGUUUUGAUUAUUGCAACUCUGUAUUACUACACAUGAUCCUCUUUCUAAGAAAGUGUUCUUCUGCAAAUUUGGGGCUUAACUGGUAGUUUUGUUUUGCUGCAUAAACUUUAUGUUCCUCUUUCCGUUGGUUGACAUCUUAUGCUUGAGUUUAUGUCUACUUGAAUGGCUAAUUUCUCAUUCGAUUUACUGUUCUUCCUCUAAGGGUUAUUGAUAUGAGAUAUAUACCUAUGUAUUGCUUAUGUUGCUAGUUGUUAUGCUUGUAAGCUUGAAAAAUGUCUUCUUAUGUAGAUUUUUGCUUGAAAUAUUGAAGGUUUAUAUCUUUGAUUUCACUGAUGCGGUUGCUACCACUGUUUAAUCUCAUCAUGUUUUCUAUGAUUUGUGAUUUAGUUUGAAAUUCUAAAUUUAGUUUCUAUAGGUGGGUUUGUUUUCCUAACAUGUCGUGGGCUGAUUACUUCAUUUGUAUCUUGACUAGUGUAAACAGGAUGAAUCGGAUAACUUACUGCCUUACUACUCUUUUACAUUGUGCCUGCUGGUUGAAUAUCUCUUGUUCUAAUUUCAGGUAUGUUUGAAGCAUGUCUCUUUGAUUGAUUUACUCGUAUCUUAGUAAAAUACAUGUUUAUAAAUUAAUAAGAUCUGAGGCUUUAAAUUUACCACUUGGGGUCAUCUUACAUUCUAUUUCGUGUUGGAUUUCCAAAAUAUUUUGUGGUCAAAUGCUGUUAUGGGUUGUGUUUCCUCGUCUUAGCUUGUUCGCUGUUUUGUGGUUUAACAUAAAGGGCUUAUUUUAACUCAAAGUUAACACCACAAGUGGAUCAGAUUCUUAUUUUCUUAAGGUUUCCAGCUUAUUGCUUGUUGUUUAAACGUAAGGAUUGGGUGUUUGCUUAGUAUUUCAGUUCCAAAUAUUGAUAACCCAUUUUGAUGGUUCAAUUUCUCCUGAUUCUCUUAUCUUAUAAUGUUUAGUUGUAUUCAUUGCUUGUCUAUUUUGAAUCAUUCAUACUUGUUUGGUUUGAAUUCUCGUUGUUGUAAUCAUAGUUUUUUCCCAUCCCGAGUUCCCUUUCUUUUGGUUCAAAAUAUGUGAGGUCUUUAAAUUAUCGAUGUUGCUAUUUGGUUUGGUUUCAUGAAAGUUUAGGCUUAAAUGAUAAUUGAAGUAAGCUUUGGAAGAAUAAUGAAUACAUCAACUUUGUUAGGGGGUUGUAUGCAAGUCAAAAAUGGACCCCUUCCAUUUGGCUUAAGGUGUAUACAAUAAGUCCUCUCUCUGCAGCACCCUAUAAACCCUGCAAUGCACAAAUUUGUGCAAUACUUCGUGACACUGUAAUUUCUUUUCCUGAAUGCACUGGCUGCCCUAUAUAAUUGACCAUGAAGUUUAAGAAUUCUUUUUGUUGUUGUUGAUACUUGAUAAAGUUGAGUAAAGUCUAAGAAAUCAGUUCAUUGACAAGUACAAAAUGCUGAAGGUGCAGGGUUAGCGCCAUUCAAUUGUUGGCUUUGUUUGAGAGGGAAUAAAAAAAUGGCUCUUCGCAUAGAAAAACAACAAGUUUAAUUUUAUUUGCCUUUUUCCAGUGGUAAAAUUUGUUGUCCCACCACUCGUUCUAGAAAUAUAUAUGCCUUCAUGUGCCUUUGUUAAUCUAUAAUUCUUGACCCUAUAGAUUUUCAUAAUUAUGGCAUGCAUACUGCUGCAUCUUCAUCUCUAUAUUGUGCAGAGAAGUUAGGGUGGUUCGUAAAAUUCUGGCACAUCACAGUGCUCUAACGAAAUAAUUUCAAUAUCUUGCAGGAGAAUGCACAAAAAAAUUGCUUAAUAUUUAUCUUUUUCCAAUUCGACGGGUGAAGAAUUGCAAUUAUGCAGGUCUUCCUCCAGGAAGGUCUUUGCACUUCUCUCUGGUAUUCAAAACAAGCUUCUUCUUUUUUUUGGGGUGGGGGGGGGGAUUUGAACUAAGGCUCUAUAGUUGUCGGUAUCCUGCCACCAUGAAGCUCUCCCUUGAAACUUACUGUAUAAAUGUUGAUCAAUUUGCAGGUUAUGGAUGCAGGAUUAGUGCUGAGGUUUCUAUCAGGUUCUUUGGCACUCUUUAAGCAUGUUGCUGAGGCUACGAAGUACUUUAGCAUUAUAGUUAGUUUUGGUUAGUUUCAUCUUUUGCUCAAUUACUAUUUUCUAAGAUUGUUUUUUCCUAUCAAACUACUUCCUAAUGACAUUUGCCUUCUCAAUCUUUUCCUAUUGAUAAUAGUAAUAUCAAACUAUUACCAUUCUUUCGCCUUGGUAUUCACUUUGAUAAUUGGUCUGUGAGGACACAAUCUCAUUUUCAGUUGGGGUGCCUCCCUUGUACUCAUUUUGUUGAUUGUUUCUGCAUACUGUGAUUGUGCCCUUGUCGGGCAUACUUUUCUUUCAUUAGUGUGCCCUUUUCGGGUUUUGAUAUUGUGGAUGUUUCUGUUGAUAUUGUGUUGGAUUGGUCUAUUUUAGUUUUUGAUUUGUAGUUUGUAGCUUCUUUGUUUUUUUUUUAUAAUAAGAUUUGGAUUAACGAUCCCUGAUGAUGGAUAGAGAGUGACGUCCUUCUUAAGGUUAAAUCAUCGAUUGCUUGUGAAUGUUUGAUUGGCGUUGAUUGUGGCGAAGUUUGAGUAGCCGUUCCCGAAUAGAUGCAUGAGGUUGCUUGUUGAUGGAUUGGUUGAUGACUUUAAGGGUAAAAUCAUCGUCAUUUUGGGAAGGUUUUGACUUGGUUGGUACUAAGAGCAUAGUCAUGCAUGUGAAUCAUGAGCAUACCUCUCCGUUUUUAUAAGGUUGAGCAUGUUAUGAAUGAUUUGUGACAACUCUUACAACUCUUUUUGUGACUUUUGAUUCGUUAGCGGUUAAAAUGUUCAGUGCUACUUGUAUUUUGAAAAGGAAGAUUGAUUUUGAACCAUCUUGAUUGAUUUGCAGGCCAUGUGUGGUGAGUUAUUGAAUAAUGCCUUGUGUUCGCUAUUGUCACCUAGAACUUGCCCGGUUGGUCUUGAAAUGUUGGUCUUGAUUGAGUUUGGUUGGAGAAAUGAUCUUAGGCUUUCUUUGAUGUUCUUGAAGUCCACUUUGUCUAAAAAUCCCACCUUUGCACUAAAUAUAUCCUUAGUUGUCCCCUUUGAGCCUAAUCCUUUUUAUUGGCAACCACAUUACAAGCCUUAUCCUUUUUGAAAAAAGUAACCCUCUUUUGAACCCUUCCCUCCUUGAACUUGAGGUUGUGAAAGUCGAGGCUAAAAGCCUAAGUUGGUGGUGUUAUGGGAAAUUCAUUGAAGGGAUGGAUGCUUACAACAUGAGGGCUUGAUAGAAAAAAAAAAUGAAGAGAGAAAUUGAGGGUUGGAUGGGAAGUCUUAAAGAAAGAAAAAGCUUUGAAAAAAAAAGAAAGAAAACGAAUGAAUGAGACUUGAAUCCUCCAAAAGUUGAAAAUGGUUGUAUGGGGGGCAUCUAUAGUGGAAAUAAGAAAAGAAUAAUGAAAAAUAGUGUGGAAUGUGCAUGGGUUUGAAAAGUGAGGGUUGAAUGGGAAGUCUCAAAGAUAGAAAAAGCUUUGAAAAAGAAAAAAAAAUGAAUAAAUGAGACUUGAAUCCUCCAAAAGUUGAAAAUGGUUGUAUGUGGGGCAACUAGCGUGGAAAUAAGAAAAGAAUAAUGUAAUGAGAAUGAGAGGAUUUCUCAUGUGAAAAAAGUUUGCAUGUGGACUAUUUGUUAGUACCAACCGGAGCCAUUACCUUUGUGCUUAAUUGAGAAAGGGAAGUUGAUUUGUGGUGUGUCUUGAAAUACGAGUCUCUUGUGUUCGAACGCUACUAAGAGUUGGGUAUUUUUAUUAGCGACAACUGCUUACUCUGUUAACUUGUUUUGAGGGUGAUUUGAGCGUCAUCAAUUAUUUAAGAUUUUUGUAAAAAGUUCUAAACAUGUGUGUAUAUAUUACUUCCUAGUGAUGCAAAUCUCCAGCUUCUUUUCACUGUUGUGGAGAAUGCACCAUCUGAAACAGUUUGAUCAAAUUGCACUGUUGGUCUUGGAGAUCUGGCAGUUCGUUUUCCUAAUCUGUUAGAGCCAUGGACAGAGCAUAUGUAUGCAUGAUUAAGAGAUCGUUCAUUCUCAUCUAAUACUGAAUGACAUGAAGGUUUGGGUGGACUAUCAAACAUUUAUAAUUAGGUUUCAUGUGUCAGAAUUUUUAUCAUCUUGUUUUGCGUGUAUCAUUAUUAGGUGGAAGUUUAUAUAAAUGAAAUGGCCAACUGUUUGGAAGAUGAAGAUGAAAGAAUUUCAAAUCUUGCCAAACUUUCUUUCAUGAGUUGUCAAAGAAAAGGUAGUAUAUUUACCCAACUUUUCUUUCAUCAGUUCCCUAAUAAAGAAGUUCAUCUAUCUAAUCUCUUUCUAGUCUUUCUACUAUUGAGCUUCUUUCAUCUGUUAUUGCGUGUUUUGGUGUGCACGUCACAUAAUACUGUUUUUUUCCUUUACAUUUAAUGUUUAGUUCGAACUUUUGCAUGUUCCCGCUUUUUUAUAAGUUCCAACUUCUUUCAUUUUUUCUUCACCUUCAAUUAGGAGGAACAAAGGUAUUUUAGACUGGCUCCUCUUGUUUAGUUACUAGGGUAUAUUUUCCUAAGAUUGUCGUAGAUCCAAGUGGAAAGUUUUGAUUAUUGCAACUCUGUAUUACUACACAUGAUCCUUUUUCUAAGAAAGUGUUCUUCUGCAGUUUUGUCUUGAACAAAGUAUGAAACAGACACGUGGGAAAUUUGAUCUUUGUGCAAAGAUGGUACGUUGAGCAAUUGGUCUUGACCUGAUCAUUUGACGUUCUUCUGAUUCUACUUUUUUGAGUCUUAGUUAUUUGUGUUAGAUUCCCUGUCUUGUUGUUGUUCUCUAUUAUAGGGAGGUGGUUGCCAGGGUGGUGGAUUAUGUCUUUGGAAUAAGAGAAUAUUUUUGUACUGUUAGAAUGCUUCUUCCAGUGAUUUUUGUCCUGUAGUUCUUCUUUCCAUUUUACUUGUUCUCAUCCAGACCUCAAUGGAUGUCAGCAUGUACCAUAAUUGAAGAAUUUAUCCUUUUCUCUCAUUUCUACAGGCAUUGAUUUGGUCCAAGAUGAGUACAGGACUUCCCAUUGAGAUUAAAUCUUCCAUGAACAGUGAAAAUUAUACCUCAUUCUGUAGGCUGGAUAUUACAAAUAUGAGAUGACUUAGAAAUAGAAAGUUAUAUUUAAGAAUGCAUGGUAACACAGGAUUAUAUUGUUUUUGUUUUCCAAGGUAUAUUACUGUAUUACGCCUUCUUUUCAGGAAUGUUCCUCGCAUUCAUAUACAUGAAAAACGGGAAAACGAAGACCGGUGGCAUGGUGCUGAAAUCCAGAUUGUCAUUGAAAGGAACUGGACAACGUACCGAGUAUGUAGUUCUUGAAUAGUUGUGACAGAAGUUCUCAUAAGUUUCACCUCAUUCAUGCGUUGAAAGCAAACUUAGUCAAAUUAUUCACCUUCUAUAUUUCUGAAAACUGAUCUUUUCUUUCUGUGUUUACAGUCCAAAGUCAAUGCAUUAUAUGCGACAAAUGGCUGUCAUCAUGCCCUAUGCCCAAUUCCUUUUCCAAUUCAUAUCAGAUUCUCCUGAGUACUUUCUCUAUCUCCCCUCCUCCCCUUCACCCCUCUCCCGUCUCUUCUCCCCUUUGUCAACCUACAAGCACGUCCACAAUUUUGAGUUCGUAAAAUAUGUGCUGCAUUCUUCGGUUUCACUCUAGUUUUGAAUUGAUUGUAGGAAAAAUGUGCUUAUAAGGUUCACUAGAAGAACAGACAUAAUGCCUUCAGUUCCUCUUGAGACCAAGCACCAUCCAUCUGCUGUGGACAUCUUCUUAUCAAAUGGCUUAUAACGGAAACAUCAAAACAGACUCUUUUGCAGUUUUCCUUCAGCAUGAAUUUGUAAACAUUGGGAAGUCUCAUGCAGAACGUUUAAUCGGUGAGAACUUGAAACUGAUUGCAUUCAUCUGUGUGAGAUUCCUUGAUAAAAUAAAAUUAGUUGGCUGUAUGGCUUAUUGACCAUUGAAAAUAGUUUAUCUAUUGCUUGCAUUCUAUUCAGCCACUAUUAGACGACAGUUUGUUAUAGUGGUUACUUACUGCUCAGUGCUCACUAACUCAAUGCAGUUGGAAAAGAUAUAAAAUUGUCAUAAUGAUAGUAGAGAAGGUGGAGUUUUUUUUUUGAACUGGUUACUUGUAGAGUAGGUGGAUGUUUUUAAGGUCACACAUUGUUGCAAUUAGCCAACAAAAGAGAAUCGACCACAUUGAAGGGAAUGUUGAAGGCAUUAAUCAACAAUGAUACACUAAAUGCGCUGUUGAUGGGAACCUCUCUUCAUAGCUAGCUUAGUGUUGUUUUUUGUUUUGCUUCUGCAGUGAAGAGAUUGGCAGAAGUAAAUUUAAUCCCAUGAUUGGUCUGGGUGACCAUGAACGUAGAGAUGAAGCCCUAUAUGAUGAUUUUGAGACAGCAAAAGCUCGUGAGGUGUGUAAGCAGUGAUUUACUCUCACUUAGAUGGCAUUGUGAUUGAUAUUUUGUGCUCACUGUUUGACAUUUAGCAAAUUUCAUUAGUGAAAUAUUUUUCUAGCAAAUUUCAUUAGAUGGCAUUGUGAUUUUUCUAACUACUGUGUCUAGAAAAGACUUGCCCAGGAAGCUCGGGUUCAAGCAAAGAAUGUUGCUCUUGGGAAGAAAGUAAAAGACCCUGCAGCUACAAAGGCAGCCAAGGGUAGGGAGGCAUUAUAUUAUAGGGUGACAUGCAAGGUAUGAUCUGUUUCUCUUUGUUCUUCUAUAUGCUGAUUCUGCUCAAAGUAUGCAAGACAAGAAAAGUACAUUGUUGAAUUAAAUCAAUUUGGCAAGUUAGUGGAAGAUUUCCGUAAAACACUUUAAUUAUUGUACUUCUUUUCUAGUAUAGGAUAAUGGAAGAGGAAUGCCACAUGAUGAUAUCCCGAAUAUGUUUGUACGAGGUUUGAUGUGCUUGCCAUUUCCAGUUAAUUUACAAGUGGAAACUUUUGCAUGUUCCUGCUUUUUGUUAUGUUCCAACUUCUUUCUUUUUUUCUUGACCUGCAAUUAGGAGAAACAAAGGUGUUUUAGACGCUUGAUACAUUCGUUUCAACUUUCAUCUCUAUUAUUUGUUUACUUAUUAUAUUUUUUUGUUAUAUUUAUCUUGUUUGUUUUUUAUAUUUUAAUUAUUAUAAACUUUAAAUAUGGAUCCCGUUAAAAAAAGUAGUGGUAAAAAAUCAAUUUAUGGAAAAAAAGGUGCUACUAGUAGGGGUGGGGGAGGACUUAGUUCUCAUUGCAACCUAGAUUUAAAACUAAUACCAACGAUUAUACCCAUGUUGAUUAAAGUUUUUUUUUAUUUCACGUCCCACUAUUUUAGAAUUUAAUUCUGAAUAUUAAGUAGACUAUGAGACCUUAAAUAGAUGGUUUGCUAAUUUUGAGGAAGAGUUGGAGGCAGAAGUAGAAAUAGAAAACCAAGACUUAGAUGACACCCCUAUUAUUCUGGCCACAAAAUUACCGCAAUAAAAUGAUCUCCCUCUAUAACCACUGUUUGGCUUUACUAGAAAUUGACCUCUAGGGGAGAACAGUCAGUCAUGUAAUUCUCGCUACGAAUUACGGAUAAAAUGGGGAAAUUAAAGAGAAGAAAUAAAGAUAGAUAGAUAGAUAGAUAGACAGACAGACACAAAAAGAGUAAAUAGGAAGCAACCAAAAGGUAUAUUAAACCUUAAGACCUUAAUUCGUAAAUCCUACAAGAAGCACCUAACUCUUACGAAGACCUCGAGGGAAUUGAAUUCACCUCGCAACCCGCAUUUCUCUAAGCAAUAGUCAACCCAAGCUUGUACCAAGCUCUCAACAGUCAUACAAGAAUUUCAAAUUAUCAAUAUUCAAACUAGUCUACCUAAAAGAGAACCCAAACUAGCUAUUUAAAGUUUCAGGCAUUUGUUACAUAAGAGGCCCAAAAGGGAUAAAGGGUGAGCUGGGUCGUGCUCGCCUAAGGGACACUCGGAGUCGGUGAGUCGCCAAUUGGUUUGGCGAGAUGACCCCUCCCUUGAAGCCUUCUAGAACAUUUGGCGAGUUGGGCUCCUCGCCCAAGCCAUUGGGCGAGUCGCUGAAUGGCUCCUGCUCGCCUAAAGUGGUAGUUUCAUUAACUAUCUUCCCUUCUCUUCCCCAAGCGAUCUUUAAGGCAUGGAACCCCUUCUUUGCCUUCAACACGUGCUCAAGGACCUCUAACUUCAUGGACAUCCUUUGAAGGUCUCGAGCUUGGCUUCGAGUGAACGGCCUUGGUGCAAUCCGAAUUGCAUCAUUCUCUCCUUCUUGAAAAGAUUUGUCCUCAAAUUCGACGGAUCAUCAUCAUCAAGAGUUGAAAAUGGAGAAAGAUUGCAAACAUUGAAGUUGUUGUGAACUUGAUACUCUGGAGGAAGGUCAAUUUUGUAUGCAUUGUCAUUGAGUCUUUCAAGCACUUGAAAGGGACCUGAUCACCUCUUGGCAUCAACUUUGUCUUCCGAUGAGUGGGAAAUCGCUCCUUGCAAAAAUGCACCGACACCCACUCACCCGAUUCUAGCACAAUCCUCUUGCGACCCUUGUUCGCCUUUUUGGGUACCUCUUGGUUCUUUUGUCCCAUCUAAGCUUAAGACAACAUCUUGAGUAAGAGGAGUGAGAUCUAAGGGGGUUAGGGGAUUAAAACCGUACACCACUUCAAAUGGAGUCAUGCCAAUAGUUCUAAUUCACUCGAUUAUAAGCAAACUCAACUAAAGGAAAAUGUUCCUCCCCAUGAGGCCAACUUUCCAUGCACCACGGCACAAAGCAUAGAACCCAAGGUCCUAUUCACAAUUUCAGUUUGGCCAUCUAUUUGUGGGUGACAAGAAGUUGAGAACAACAACUUGGUACCAAGUCUCCCCCAUAAUUCUUUCUAAAAGCUACUAUGGAAUUUUGGGUCCCUAUCACUUAUGAUGGUUUGAGGAAUUCCAUGCAAUUUAACAAUAUUUUCCACAAACAGAGUUGCCACAUUGGAAGCAUCAUCACAUUUAUGACAUGGAAUGACAUGAGCCAUCUUUGAAUAUCGAUCAACAACAACAAAGAUGCUAUCUCUACCUCUUUUUGUCCUUGGCAAACCCAAAACAAAAUCCAUUGAAAUAUCAAGCCAAGGUCUUUAAGGGGUGGGGAGUGGAGUGUAUAAACCAUGGGGAAGGAGGCGUGACUUGUCACUCUGACAUUCAAUACAUUGGCCACAAAUUCGAGCAAAAUCUUUGUGUAUCUUAGGCUAAUAGAAUUGUUCCUCGAGAAUUCCCCCUGUUUUAUCAACACCAAAAUGACCCAUUAAUCCCCCAUUGUGUGCCUCCCUCACAAAUAGUUCUCUCCAAGAGCUCAUAGGCACACAUAGUCUCUUGCCUUUGAACAAGAAACCAUCAAACUUAGAAUAGGGAGUAGAAGAUCUAUCCCUAAGCCACAUUUCCCUCUCCCAUUCCUCACAAUCUCGUAAGAUUUAUAGCAAACAUGUUAUCCUUGGAAUGCAUUGUCUUCAAGCAUUCAAAGCCAAGCAAUUUAGACAAUGUAUAACAACACAUGUUUCCUAGACAAGGCAUCGGCCACCCUACAUUUUCCUUCCCCUUUUUGUAUUGAAUUACAUAAGGGAAAGUUUCAAGGAAUUCAAUCCAUUUGGCGUGCCUUUUGUUCAACUUUCCUUGGGCCCGAAUAUGCUUUAGGGACUCAUGGUCGGUCCGAAUGACAAAUUCUUUGGGCCACAAGUAGUGUUGCCAAUUACCUUAUGCUCUAAUCAAAGCAUAUAAUUCAAGAUCAUAAAUGGAACAGUUUAAAGUUGCACCUUUAAGCUUUUCACUAAAAUAAGCAAUGGGCUUUUGGUCUUGCAUUAAGACGGCUCCAGUGCCUACUUUACUAGAAUCGCAUUCAACUUCAAACACCUUCUCAAAAUUGGGUAAUUGCAACAAAGGUGUGGAGCUAAGCAUUGAUUUUAAAGCCUCAAAAGUUUUGCCUUGCUCUUCCCCCAAUACUAAAUCGUAUAAAAACUAGCCAACCUAUGAAAGCUUCUAACAUCGCUUAUGGACUUCGAAAUUGGCCAAUUCUUAAUAGCGUCUAUCUUAGACUCAUCAACCUCAACCCCCUUGAACUCACUACAAAUCCCAAGAAAACAACUUCAUCAACAUAAAAUUAACACUUUUCAAGAUUAGCAUAAAGUUGUUCUUGACUUGAGAGGGUUCUAAGUAGCACAUGACAAGCUUGCAUUGGGACUACAUCACAUAAGAAUCUCAUCUUGGUACUUCCCAAUUUUGAACUUGAUCAACACUUGUCUAUGAACCCUCAAUUCUCCACACUCACUCAACCAUUGAAGCUUGUAAGGUGUAGCAUGCUUAGUGGUAAGAAGUUUCAAGAAUUCCACUAAAGCGGUGCUAGCAACGUUGGCACAACUCCCACUAUCAAUGAUCAAGGAACACACAUUAUCUUUAAUGAGGCACUUGGAGUGGAAAAGAUUCUCCCUUUGACUUGGAUCAUUCAUGGCCAUGCUAAUCAUAACUCUCCUCAUCACAUACAUUGGUACAUUGAACUCUCCUUCUUGAGGCCAAGCUUCUUCA
rnacentral:lncRNA from 1 species